rnacentral:rRNA from 1 species
ACGAGGGACACAGUGUUGCCGGAAUUAUUGGGCGUAAAGAGCUCGUAGGCGGUUUGUCGCGUCUGCUGUGAAAGCCCGGGGCUCAACCCCGGGUCUGCAGUGGGUACGGGCAGACUAGAGUGCAGUAGGGGAGACUGGAAUUCCUGGUGUAGCGGUGAAAUGCGCAGAUAUCAGGAGGAACACCGAUGGCGAAGGCAGGUCUCUGGGCUGUUACUGACGCUGAGGAGCGAAAGCAUGGGGAGCGAACAGGAUUAGAUACCCCGUAGU